UUUUUUUUUUUUUAAUUGUUUCUCUAUUAACCUGAAUUUUGAUUUAUUUUAUUUUAUUUUUUGUUAUAGGCUCGUGCUUUAAAGUUUCGGACUGCUGUACUAACCAAAAAAAAAAAACUUAAAAAAAAAAUUAAAAUUUGAGAUAACUAAAAGGCAAUUUUGAAAAAAAUAAAAUAACAAAUUGAACAAUCUUCUUUGUUUUUUCACCUAUAAGCUUAGCAUUUUAUACUUUACCUAAUUUUUUGUUUUUGAAUGUUAUCAUGCCACGCACUAUACAAUUGCCUUUCUCUUAAUUCUUUUUUGAAAGUUAUCAUGCCACGCACUAUACAUUUGCCUUUCUCUUAAUUUUUUUUUGAAAAGCCUUUAUAUAAGGUUGCAACCUUAAAAUGUAAAAUUACACCUCAAAAAUCUAUCUGAAAAUGCUGUUUUAAUGUUGAAAAACCCUGCAAUUGAUCAUCUCGACAUCGAGAUGUAUGAUAUGAAAGAAAAAAAAGAUUUGACUACUAGAAAUAGUAUAUCUUGUAAUAUAUUAUUUAGACCGUCUAUUUUCAAGAUUUUCCAUAUGUUUAUUGAUCUAUUUGAUUUUAGUAAUUCUUUUAGUUUAAAAUGUUAUAACUUAAGUAUAAAUAUAGAUUUUUAGAUAAUUUAAAUAACGUUUUACACUAAAAUUAUAUGAUAAAAUUUGAAAAUACAUUUUAAUUAGAUUAUUUAAGGUUGGAACCUUAUAGAAACCACACCCUUUCUUUUUUGAUUUAGUCAAAUCUCGAGGCACCCUUUCUUUUUUGAUUUAGUCAAAUCUCGAGGCCUCAUAAAAAAAAGCUUUCGUGGUUUGGCACUCGAGCACUCGUAAACAACAUUCAUCCUCUAUUCUUGUUAAGAAAUAGGAAAAUUAGUGGUAGGGCUGGCAAUGGGCGGGGCCCCAAAACUGAGAGCUUGGGCAUUUCCUCUUUGGCCUAGUUGUUUUUCUAUUUUAUUUAUUUUUGAUGUGGCCCGGCUUUAAGAAGUUACAGCCGGUCCUAUUGAGCAAGGGUAGGGCCAAAGCUAACGAUGACCGAGCCCUUAACUAAUAGUGGGUUGGUUCCUCUCCUUUUCUAUUAGGUAAUAGGCCAAAGGUAGGGCCAAGGCUAAUGAGUUGGUUACUCUUCUUUUCUAUUGGGUAAGUGGGUCAUGCAAAAGCCAAGAUUGUCAAAACCUAAAUACAUCAUUGAAUGUUCAAAAAUGUAUCAUCACAUACAUCCAAAGCAUAAAUAACAAUUAAAUUGGGUGAUCAUAAAUAAAUGCCGUGUUUUGUCCAACUUGGGGUAUACAAUGAGGCCAUUGACAUUUACUCUAUGUAAAAAGAGAAAGUUCAGUUUUUCUAUUUUUUAUUUUUUAUUUUUUUUUCUUUUGAAGUUGAUCAAUAAAAUAUAUGAAACCUAUUAAUUUUACAUUUAAUGGUCAAAAUUAAGUGUGACGACUUUGUAAUGGAUGGUCUCGAUAUGUACUGGCACAAGAGACCACCAGUAAGGACCAAUUUCGUGGGUUUCGCUUGGAACACAUGUCGCCUCCUAGUUCAGGUGGCCCCAUUU
rnacentral:lncRNA from 1 species